rnacentral:rRNA from 1 species
UUGCCUCAGUAACGGCGAGUGAAGCGGCAACAGCUCAAAUUUGAAAUCUGGCUCUCGGGCCCGAGUUGUAAUUUGCAGAGGAUGUUUCUGGCGAGGUGCCUUCCGAGUUCCCUGGAACGGGACGCCAUAGAGGGUGAGAGCCCCGUCCGGUUGGUCGCUAAGCCUCUGUGAAACUCCUUCGACGAGUCGAGUAGUUUGGGAAUGCUGCUCUAAAUGGGAGGUAUACGUCUUCUAAAGCUAAAUACCGGCCAGAGACCGAUAGCGCACAAGUAGAGUGAUCGAAAGAUGAAAAGCACUUUGAAAAGAGGGUUAAAUAGUACGUGAAAUUGUUGAAAGGGAAGCGUUUAUGACCAGACUUGGGCCGGUUGAUCAUCCAUCGUUCUCGGUGGUGCACUCUGCCGGCUCAGGCCAGCAUCAGUUUGGUUUGGGGGAUAAAGGUUUCGGGAAUGUGGCUCCCUCGGGAGUGUUAUAGCCCGUUGCGUAAUACCCUGGACUAGACUGAGGUUCGCGCUCCGCAAGGAUGCUGGCGUAAUGGUCAUCAGCGACCCGUCUUGAAACACGGACCAAGGAGUCGUCUUCGUAUGCGAGUGUUCGGGUGUCAAACCCCUACGCGUAAUGAAAGUGAACGUAGGAGAGAGCUUCGGCGCAUCUCCGACCGAUCCUGAUGUUCUCGGAUGGAUUUGAGUAAGAGCAUACGGGGCCGGACCCGAAAGAAGGUGAACUAUGCCUGUAUAGGGUGAAGCCAGAGGAAACUCUGGUGGAGGCUCGCAGCGGUUCUGACGUGCAAAUCGAUCGUCAAAUAUGGGCAUGGGGGGCGAAAGACUAAUCGAACCUUCUAGUAGCUGGUUUCGCCGAG